rnacentral:rRNA from 1 species
GUGAGGCCUCUGGGUCCACCUCCCACCCGUGUUUAUUUUACCUUGUUGCUUCGGCGGGCCCGCCUUAACUGGCCGCCGGGGGGCUUACGCCCCCGGGCCCGCGCCCGCCGAAGACACCCUCGAACUCUGUCUGAAGAUUGAAGUCUGAGUGAAAAUAUAAAUUAUUUAAAACUUUCAACAACGGAUCUCUUGGUUCCGGCAUCGAUGAAGAACGCAGCGAAAUGCGAUACGUAAUGUGAAUUGCAAAUUCAGUGAAUCAUCGAGUCUUUGAACGCACAUUGCGCCCCCUGGUAUUCCGGGGGGCAUGCCUGUCCGAGCGUCAUUGCUGCCCUCAAGCCCGGCUUGUGUGUUGGGCCCCGUCCCCCGAUCUCCGGGGGACGGGCCCGAAAGGCAGCGGCGGCACCGCGUCCGGUCCUCGAGCGUAUGGGGCUUUGUCACCCGCUCUGUAGGCCCGGCCGGCGCUUGCCGAUCAACCCAAAUUUUUAUCCAGGUUGACCUCGGAUCAGGUAGGGAUACCCGCUGAACUUAAGCAUAUCAAUAAGCGAGGGA